AAACAUUUUCAAAGGAGAAGCUGAGGAUGUCACUGCUGCCAGACAGAGCCACCGCCCUUCUCUCUCCCUGCCGACUCACUGGUUGCAGGGUUACUGACAGAUCAUCGCAGGAUGCUAGAGGUCAACCAGAGGACACAAGUGGUAGUGGCGGAGUCCGCCAUUCCCGCACUGGAUUCGAACUGCCUACCUAAACAUGGGAUGGGUUGGGGAACAGGGUGACUAAAACAUCUGUGCAGGGACUACAGAUGAAAAAAACCCUCUUCGCUAACUGUGGCGCAUUUACAGCAAUGUUUAUUAAUGUGCACUAUCCCUGUUAAAUAAACCAAUAAAUAAAUAUUCAAGUGAACUGUUAUGCAUCAAUCUGUGGAUAUACUCAUGUGAAAACUCAAUUAAAAAAACAUUCGCAAAAAGCAAACAAAUUUCCUACCUAAGCAUGAGGGAUUCACAGGAAACAAGACAUGCACGCAAUCUAGCGUAAUUUUAUCUCAUUGAUAUCAGCCUCACUGUUUACUGUUUGCUCUCUUUACACCGUAUAAGAGCUGUAUUUAAGUUACUGCUGCUUCACAAUAAAAGCGUUUAACUGGCAAAACACGGGGUGGCUUUUAGGGUGGCUUUUAUUGUGAAGAAGUCACCAAUCACAGGUGUUGCCAAAUCAAGCAAGACUGAAAUCUUUAGGACUACAACUUUAAGUGAGAUUAGAAAUGGCGACAGCCUUCUUUUGGUUUCUACA